rnacentral:rRNA from 1 species
CAGUCGCCACGGGAAUACAGAGGGUGCGAGCGUUAAUCGGAUUUACUGGGCGUAAAGCGUGCGUAGGCGGCUAAUUGAGUCGGAUGUGAAAUCCCCGAGCUUAACUUGGGAAUUGCAUUCGAUACUGGGAAGCUAGAGUAUGGGAGAGGAUGGUAGAAUUCCAGGUGUAGCGGUGAAAUGCGUAGAGAUCUGGAGGAAUACCGAUGGCGAAGGCAGCCAUCUGGCCUAAUACUGACGCUGAGGUACGAAAGCAUGGGGAGCAAACAGGAUUAGAGACCCGCGUAGUCCCUGUCUCUUAUAC